GCGGUGUUGGUCCAGUGGCUAAGACUCCGGCCUUCCAAGCCGGCGACCCGGGUUCAAGUCCCGGACACCGCA
rfam:Candidatus Nanosalina sp. J07AB43 genomic scaffold scf_7180000030744, whole genome shotgun sequence.